UGGGGAAUCUUGCACAAUGGGGGAAACCCUGAUGCAGCGACGCCGCGUGAACGAUGAAGCCCUUCGGGGUGUAAAGUUCUUUCGACAGGAACGAUAAUGACGGUACCUGGAGAAGAAGCUGCGGCUAACUACGUGCCAGCAGCCGCGGUAAUACGUAGGCAGCGAGCGUUGUUCGGAGUUACUGGGCGUAAAGAGUGCGUAGGCGGCGAGCCAAGUUCGGUGCGAAAUCUCCCGGCUUAACCGGGAGGGUGCGCCGAAAACUGGUUGGCUGGAGUAUGGGAGAGGAAAGCGGAAUUCCUGGUGUAGCGGUGAAAUGCGUAGAUAUCAGGAGGAACACCUGCGGUGUAGACAGCUUUCUGGACCAAAACUGACGCUGAGGCACGAAAGCGUGGGUAGCAAACA
rnacentral:rRNA from 1 species